GUGCUCCCUUUUCCUGGCAGGGGCACUCUGUAAACAUCCCAGAGACAGCAGUAGAGAUGGGAGCGGUAAGCAGUAGCACCAGGAAGAGGAGGGAGGGGUCGGGGAUUGAGCCAGGAGACACCCGAGGAACACGUGGGGAAUCCUGGCACCUGGAAAGCUCUGCCGUGGUUCAGGAGAGAGAUGGGCGCCAGCUGCGGCUAUAACUACAAGCUGGACAGAACAGAAUUUGUCAUGGCAAUUUCGCAGAUACAAGAAACAGGGUGGCCGUGGGUGCUUUCUGGUGUUCUCAAGAUUUGUUCAGGAUUUCUCACCUAAACUAUGAAUUUAGAAAGCCACAGUUGCCUAUGUGUGGUGUCAAUUAAAACUACCAGAAAUAUAUUAGUACUUAUAUAUGUGCUGCUUUUAGUCAUUUAUAUCUGCCCCUAAUUGGCCAAAACAAGAUAACAUAAGCAACAUUUAAGAGGGGUGUGUCCCUGGUCUGCAAAACAACUAUUACUGUUUUAAAUACUUUUCAAACAUUUAGUACUUUAUUUAGAUGUUUUGGAAUGCAGUGUAUAAUUUCUAAAACAUGUGUCCCUAUAUUCUUUAAUGGACAUUAAACUCACCAGGUAUAUCUUCUUAUAUCAAUUAAUUAAAUUACUAAUUAAUAUGAUUAAUCAAAUGAAACAACAUUGUAAUAUACAUUCAUUAUUUAGAUUGCUUGAUUUUGCUGUAAAAUGUAUUGUUUUAUCUAAUGGUACUUGUGCCGUGCACCCCUAGAGAGGCAGAAAGUUAAAAUAUGUAAUGUAAUUUGCAGAAAACAACUGUUGUUAAAUUAUCUGGACCAACUACAUAAUAAACAAUAAUUGCUUAGAACUGUGAGCAAACACAAUUAAAGCUAGCCUUAAAGGGAUAGUCAACACCAAAAUUGUUAUUGUUUGAAAAGAUAAAUAACGUCUUUACUAUCCAUUCCCCAGCUUUGCAUAACCAACAUUGUUAGAUUAAUAUACUUUAAAACAUUCAAACCUCUAAAUGUCUGACUGUUCUAAGCCACUACAGACAGUCUCUUAUCACAUUAUUUUUUAUUAGCUUUUCACAGCAAGAGACUGCUAGUCCAUGUGAGCCAUAUAAAUAACAUUGUGCUCUCUCCCCUGGAGUUGUGCAGGGCACCACAAAUUGACUAAAAUGCAAGUCAAUAGAUAAUAAACAAAUAGCCAUGUGAUCAGGGGGCUGUCAAAAGAGGCUUAGAUACAAGGUAAUCACAGAGGUAAAAAGUAUAUUACUAUAACCAUGUUGGCUGUGCAAGACUGGGGAAUGAGUAAUAAAGGGAUUAUCUAUCUUUUUAAACAAUAAACAUUUUGAAGAUGACUGUCCCUUUAAUUAUACUCACUAGAGUUGUCAAGUAGUUUGUUAACAGAGUUUUGUUAGAAAUUAACAGUUUGUGAUUUAGUACUUAAAGGGAUAGUUCAUAGUUCAGGCUUCAUGAUUCAGAUAGAGCAUGCAAUUAAAAAAAAAAAAACUUUCCAAUUUAAUUCCAUUAUUAUAUUGUGCACAAUAUUUUUGUCUUACUGAAGCAAUAGCCCCUACUGAGCAUGUGCUAGAGUUCACAGUAUAUAUUUAUAUGUGUUUUUUGAUUGGCUGAUAGCUGUCACGUGAUACAGGGUGCAAAAUUGGACUCAUUUUGAAAUUUGUCAGCAAAAAAACUACUAAUUUGAAAUUCAGGAUAAGUUUAAUUGCAUUGUCGUUUUAUUAUGUAUUUGUUUAUAUUUAAAUUCUACUCUAUGUAAUACUCCUUUAAUGUAAUGCCUAUAUAAAAAUAAAUUUAAAGUCCCUUUAA